rnacentral:rRNA from 1 species
GACGAACCGUGCGAACGUUAUUCGGAAUCACUGGGCUUAAAGCGCGUGUAGGCGGAUGGGGACGUCGGUUGCUGAAAUCCCCCGGCUCAACCGGGGAACGGGCGCCGAAACGCCUCGUCUGGAGGGACGUAGGGGGACCUGGAACUUCCGGUGGAGCGGUGAAAUGCAUUGAGAUCGGAAAGAACACCAACGGCGAAAGCACUCUGCUGGGCCGACACUGACACUGAGAGACGAAAGCUAGGGAGCAAAUGGG